GCGGAAUUCCAAUCACGAUGGCAGGAAUUGCCGUCAUGAACGUCCCGCAUUGCCAAGAUAAAAAAAAUGACAAAGGUCUACGUGGCCAAUGACUUGACGGAAGACGUCAUACUUGGUAUGGACUUUUUGGAGGAUAAUCAAUGCAUCGCCGUUGAUUACGAAGCUAUGACGUUUGUCAGCAGGGUUUCCCUGGAACAUAACCAAGUGUCACAAACGUAACAGCAAAUAACCAUCAAGAUACAUUAUCAGACAACGUGUCUGAACUAUUAAAACAACUGAACGUUGACGCUAUACCCCUCAGCCAAGUAGAACGUUCGUCCCUUGUUGAAAUUUUAAGAAAAAGAUCAGCUGCGUUUUUAUUAUCCGACCGCGAUCAAGGAAUGACCCACAUCGUGAAACAUCACAUUGACACUGGCUCUGCAACACCAAUUCGACAAUAUCCACAUCGCAUGUCGGAACACCAAAAGAAGGAAAUGUGAAGAUACACUUGACACGAUGAGACUGUAGGUUCUGGUACCCGAGCCAAUGCGACCAGCAAUAAUCCACGGCCAUGGGGGAGGUCACCUGGCAAAAGAAAAGGACAGCCUGCCGAGUCGCUGAACGAUUCUUUUGACGAAAGUGGAGACGUGAUGUCUUAAUCUAUUGUGAUAAAUGCGCAACGUGCGAAAGACGUUAACUGCCUCCCAAGACUCUUAAGGCUCCACUUGUACCAUCCACAGAACUCGUAACCGUGCAACGAAUUGAGAUCGAUAUCCUUCGAGGACUUCCGAUGGCACAAUCUGGUAAUCGCUAUAUACUUGUAGCAUGUGAAAUAUAUACAAAGUUUAUGCAGGCAUGGCCAAUGAGAUCACAGACGGCACAAGAAACGGCACAAACUCUCUAUCAUCGUUGGUUUACCGUUCAUGGAGUUCCGGAUCGUGUAUAUUCCGACCAAGGUGGCAAUUUUGAAAGUGCAAUAUUCCAGAAACUGACCAGUUACUUGGAUGCAAGAAAAGCCGCACUUCCAGCUAUCAUCCUUCUGGGAAUGGCGGAGUAG